rnacentral:rRNA from 1 species
AGCAGCCGCGGUAAUUCCAGCUCCAAUAGCGUAUAUUAAAGUUGUUGCAGUUAAAAAGCUCGUAGUUGAAUUUCGGGGUUAGUAGGUUGGUCAUGCCUCUGGUAUGUACUGGUCUCACUGAUUCCUCCUUCCUGAUGAACCUUAAUGCCAUUUAUUUGGUGUUUUGGGGAAUUUGGACUGUUACUUUGAAAAAUUAGAGUGUUUAAAGCAAGCUAACGCUUGAAUACAUUAGCAUGGAAUAAUGAAAUAGGACGUUCGAUCCUAUUUUGUUGGUUUCUAGGAUUGACGUAAUGAUUAAUAGGGAUAGUUGGGGGCAUUAGUAUUCAAUUGUCAGAGGUGAAAUUCUUGGAUUUAUUGAAGACUAACUACUGCGAAAGCAUUUUGCCAAGGAUGUUUUCAUUAAUCAAGAACGAAAGUUAGGGGAUCGAAGACGAUCAGAUACCGUCGUAG